AAAAAAAAAUUUUUUUUUUAAAUUAAGAGUUUAGCAUAAUAACAAAUAGGACUAAGAAGAGAUUAGAGACAAAAAAAGCCAACUCAAAUUCAAGAUUUUUAGAGUUCCACUAAAUUCAAAAUAAAUAAAUAAAAUUAAACACAAUAGAAAUCAUCCACACUUGACACAUGUCUAUUAUAUGUGAAAAAACUUGAACACUAAAGCAAAUACGACUAACCUGAGAUGAACAAUACAAGUAAGCCAAAAUAUAUGCAGACAAGCAUAUAAUACAUCACACUCAAAUUCAAGAUGGAUAGGAACUGUUGAAUUAAAAAUUGACAAAACUUGAACUCAAUAGAAAGAAUUCAUGAAUGAAAUACUCAUAUUAAACCACCACUCUGCGAACUAAAAAAUAUAAACACAAAAAGUACAAGGCAACCAAAACAUUACACAUAAAAAUUUGAUUCACACUAAGCAAGCUCAACUUAAACAUGAAAUAAAGAAUAUUUGAGCAGAAAUAAUACAUAUGGACAAAGAAUGUA
rnacentral:misc_RNA from 1 species